rnacentral:rRNA from 1 species
AGUGUAGGCGGCUUCGUAAGUCGGAUGUGAAAGCCCUUGGCUUAACCUGGGAAUGGCAUUCGAAACUGCGCGGCUAGAGUCUGAUAGAGGGAAGUGGAAUUCCAGGUGUAGCGGUGAAAUGCGUAGAGAUCUGGAGGAACACCAGUGGCGAAGGCGGCUUCCUGGAUAAAGACUGACGCUGAGGCUCGAAAGCGUGGGGAGCAAACAGGAUUAGAUCCCCUGGUAGUCC